AUCACUCUUAAAAACAACCACAUCCCGCUCUGUUCCUAUCUUCAAGAUCCACUAAAACCGAAGGCAAAGAAAGGUGUUGCUGCCAUCGAUUUUUCUGCCAUCAUUUCAACUCCUUUCUUCCUUCAUUUGGUCCAGAUGCCAACCCGACAACACCCCUGAAAAUGGGUUGAUUCCUUCCUCCAAAAUGGGUCAUCAAAACAGAACCUAAACCUAUUCUUUUCUUGCUAUUUUGCUGAGUUUUCGAGCUAUAUAUCACCCAAAAUAGUGGCUGUUUCGAGUAGCCAAAAGAACCUGCAAAAAGACCCAAAAAGUUCUUGUUUUGGCUACCAUAUUUGAAUAUCUAAACAGCCCGAUAAGGAGCUAUUUUCUAGUAACAAUAAACCCAAGAAACACUAUUCCUUUACUCCUUAUAAACCUUAUAUUUGUUGCUGUCUUCGAGGGUACAAAAUAGCCCCAAAAAGUGGUUGUUUUCAAGUGUUAAUAAGAUCAAGAGGCUACCAUAUUUUUCUCUUCAAAACUACUUGUGUUCAACCCUAUUUUGAUCUUCUAAAAUAUCACAAGUCCUAGGUAAUGUAAUCUUAUAUUCCUUCUUCUUUUUUCACAAAAACAACCCAAAACAGGUCCAAAAUCAUCAAAAUCCACCACCUUAACCAGUAACGUGUGUACCCUCGACAAACACCUCUAGCUUUCUUCUGAGUCUAAGAAUCUAUUUUUUCAGGUUCCUCGUAUAUUAUUGAGUCUUGGGUGUUAUUUCAUUCAAAAAGUCCACUGGUUGAGAAAAGAAAAGAAAUCAAGUUAAAUCCCGAAAACCAAAGCAAACGAAUUUCAUGCGGCAAGGGUGAGUUUUACAACCCCUUUCAUCUUUAAAAUCUUUCGGGGAGAGUACAUGCAACCUUAACAGGGUCGGCUCAAUGUAUUAGAAAGUUAAGUAAGGGCUUAGGGCCCCAUUUUGUAAAGGGCCCCCUACUUACCCAAAUCCUUUAAUGUCCGAUUUUUGAUACCUUCUUCUCCAUUCGCUGAUAUGUAUGCCUCCAUUCACUGAUAUGCACGCCUGACGACUCAAAUCAAAAGCGACAAUCACACUUCUAUUCUUCUUCCUUCUCCAUUCUCGCACUUUGAAUAUUGAUUAUCAAUUUUUGGCUUCUACAAUCUCGAUUCUUGAACACUGAAAGGCUCCCUGAACCGCUGUAAUUUUUUCAUUCUCCACUCUCCGCUUCUCUGAUUCUUCAUUGUUCAAAAAUCUCUGAUGAUUCAUUGACUCAAGUGUUUCCACUCAUAUUUUGAGUUGUUGGCUUGCUGCUUGAAGCUAAGGAAUGUUGUCCUUCUAAUUAUAACACUGGAAGUUUGAUUUAGUGAUUUUCGAUUUCUUUGUCCCUUUGUUUAUGUAACUUGAAGCUAAAGAAUGUUGGUUAUUGAUCGUUUUCUAUGCA